UAAAAGAAGGAAUAAGGGUAAUUGGGUGAUAUAUAUCCCCAAGAACAGUUUGGAGAGAUGGAAAGAAUUGGUUGGAAGCCGAAUUCUUAAACUAUUUGAUUAUAAACUGGCACCUUAUUCUCUAAGAAAGAAAACUAACCCCGUAGAGACUGCACGCCGGGUUCCGUUCAUAUGAAUUGAACGGAAUAUGAUACAGUCCGAACUGCAUAGUAAUAUGCAGAGUUUGCUAGAAAUGGCAAGCCGAUUCCGAAUAAUCGGAAUAAGUAACAUAUUUGUAGAGACCCCUGUAGUCCUAGCUGUAAACUAUGUUCGCUUGAUCUCUGUUCCGGCUUUGCCGGAGUGGGGGUUGGAGCUAACGCGUGAAGCGAACCGCCUGGGGAGUACGACCGCAAGGUUAAAACUCAAAGGAAUUGACGGGAAAGAGCACAACCAGGGGAGCAUGUGGUUCAAUUCGAUACGAAGCGAAGGACCUUACCCAGAUUUGACAUGUUACCGUUUUAGUUCUGCAGAAAUGCGGGAUGAUCCAACGAAAGAAGGAUGGUAUCACAGCUGCUGCAUGGCUGUCGUCAGCUCGUGCCGUGGGGUGUCGACUUAAGUGUCGAAACGAGCGCAACCCUUAUCGCAUGUUCAAUAGUCUUGCGAAACUGCCUUGCCUAUAGCGGGGAGGAAGGAGGGGAUGACGUCAAGUCAGCAUGGCGCUUAUAUCUGGGGCCACACACAUCCUACAAUGGGGAGUAACAACGGGUUGCCAAGCCGCAAGGCGGAGCUAAUCCCAUCAAACCUCCCCUCAGUUCAGAUUGGGGGCUGCAACUCGCCCCCAUGAAGAUGGACUUGGUAGUAAUCGCGGAUCAGCAGGCCGCGGUGAAUACGUUCUCUCUUUUUGUACACACCGCCCAUCAAGCCAGCAAAGUCGGCAGGACCUGAAAUUCUACCUUUGGUGGGACGAGGGUCAGGUCGGCGAUGAGGGCUAAGUUGUAACAAGGUAUCCCUAGCCGAAGCUGGGGAUG
rnacentral:rRNA from 8 species